AUAACGACUCUYGGCAACGGAUAUCUCGGCUCUSGCAUCGAUGAAGAACGUAGCGAAAUGCGAKACUUGGUGUGAAUUGCAGAAUCCCGUGAACCAUUGAGUCUUUGAACGCAAGUUGCGCCCGAAGCCAUUAGGCUGAGGGCACGUCUGCCUGGGCGUCACG
rnacentral:rRNA from 1 species